rnacentral:lncRNA from 1 species
CUCUUCUUCAUAUUGCCCGCCCCGUGUGGCCCAGCAGCCACAAGUGAGACCACAUUGUGCAGGUGCUUGUGCUGCUUCACAGAACAGACCUGCAGGACCAGAUGCUGGUGGAUGUGCAGGAUGUCCAGUCCUCCCUACUCUGGGGUGACCAGCAUCCCACCAUGCCAAGGAGGUCAAUUGAAGUUUAGCUGCCGACUUCGUGAACAGGAUUUCAACCCAUGUCUGCGAUUAGUGAUGAAAUGAAAUCCACGGCUUGAAAUCAUUUAUCCAGCACAUCCGAUCAAACACAAACAUCUCCGUGCUUGAAAAUAAAUGAGGGUUGGAGCCAGCUAGGCUGCUGCA